UACGAGGGGGGCAAGCGUUGUUCGGAAUUAUUGGGCGUAAAGAGCGUGUAGGCGGUUCGGUAGGUCCGUUGUGAAAACUCGAGGCUCAACCUCGAGACGCCGAUGGAAACCCCCGAACUAGAGUCCGGAAGAGGAGAGUGGAAUUCCUGGUGUAGCGGUGAAAUGCGCAGAUAUCAGGAAGAACACCCGUGGCUAAGGCGGCUCUCUAGUACGGUACUGACGCUGAGACGCGAAAGCGUGGGGAGCGAACAGG
rnacentral:rRNA from 1 species